AUGGAAACUAUGGAGGUAAAGAGAGUUUACCUGAAAACUGAGCAUGGUUAUACUUUCAACGUCAAAGUAUACAAUGCAUACACGUACACCUAUUUUGAAUACAAAACUUGGCAAGCACUAUGCAAGACUUAUGCAUUUGAGCCUGGUAUGGUUAUCACCUUUGAUAUUCGUCCGAAAGAUGAUAUUGAAGGUAAUAGAGACAUAUGGGUCGAUGUGCAGACGCCUCCAAUUCUACCAUUAUCUUAUCUCCAUUCAACCAAACAUAUCCGGCGCUUGGUAGACAGGACCUACUACUGUCCCGGAGCUGAAUUAAACUGCGAGGAGGUCAUUGUGUUUCAUGGCUUGAGGAUCUUCAUACUGUCAAGACAAAUUUUCUUCCUGCACUUAGAAAUGUUAGUACUCAAAAUGUGUGAUCAAUAG
rnacentral:rRNA from 1 species